UUGGCGCCUUAAGUCUUGUCGAAACUGUAAAUGGACGAACCUGCUUUCAUAGUCGUCAGUCCAGUCUUCGCGUUCAGACCUAACUUGACCUUUUCCUUCUUCAAGACUUGAGUAUUCGUCCGAGUGUUUUUCGACGGUGCUUGCAUAUCUAACAAGAAUGCAAAUCCCGUACUUCAACAUGUUCUGGUUUAACGUUGCUCUCUGGACAAUCCUUCUCCUGUUUUAUAUAGCUUAUUCUACAGCUUGGGUCGUCGAUCAAUGCAUCAUCUGCUGUAGAAGGAAGAAAAAGCAUCAGAAGUGUUCCCAUUCUAUAGAAAUGACAAGUGUCCAGGAUACUCUCUCGGACGACCGUCCUCAGACCUAAGCAGAGGUUUGUCCACGCCACUCGACAGGCUGCUCUACCAUCAAUGCAGGAUGUCAAGCCCUUCCUCAAGACGGG